GACGAACGCUGGCGGCGUGCUUAACACAUGCAAGUCGAACGGAAAGGCCCUGCUUUUGUGGGGUGCUCGAGUGGCGAACGGGUGAGUAACACGUGAGUAACCUGCCCUUGACUUUGGGAUAACUUCAGGAAACUGGGGCUAAUACCGGAUAGGAGCUCCUGCUGCAUGGUGGGGGUUGGAAAGUUUCGGCGGUUGGGGAUGGACUCGCGGCUUAUCAGCUUGUUGGUGUGGUAGUGGCUUACCAAGGCUUUGACGGGUAGCCGGCCUGAGAGGGUGACCGGCGACAUGGGGCCUGAGAUAGGCCGCAGAAGCGAAUGGGCGGCAGCAGUGGAGAGUAUGACGCAGUGGGCCGACGUCUGAGGUGGCAACGCCGGGAGCGUGAUACUGGCCUUCGGGGUGAAAACCGAUGUGGCAUGAGACGUAGAGGUCGUGACGGUAAUGGGUAAAGAAGCACCGGCUAACUACGUG
rnacentral:rRNA from 1 species